rnacentral:rRNA from 1 species
UACAGGGGGGGCAAGCGUUGUUCGGAAUUACUGGGCGUAAAGGGCUCGUAGGCGGCCGGCUAAGUCCGACGUGAAAUCCCCAGGCUUAACCUGGGAACUGCGUCGGAUACUGGCGGGCUUGAAUCCGGGAGAGGGAUGCGGAAUUCCAGGUGUAGCGGUGAAAUGCGUAGAGAUCCGGAGGAACACCGGUGGCGAAGGCGGAUCUCUGGGCCAUUACUGACGCUGAGGAGCGAAAGCGUGGGGGAGCGAACAGG